ACCUACGGGACGCAGCAGUCGGGAAUAUUGCGCAAUGGAGGAAACUCUGACGCAGUGACGCCGCGUAUAGGAAGAAGGUUUUCGGAUUGUAAACUAUUGUCGAUAGGGAAGAAAAAAGACUGUACCUAUCAAGAAAGCUCCGGCUAACUACGUGCCAGCAGCCGCGGUAAUACGGAGGAUGCGAGCGUUAUCCGGAUUUAUUGGGUUUAAAGGGUGCGCAGGCGGAGGUGCAAGUCAGCGGUCAAAUUGCGGGGCUCAACCCCGUACUGCCGUUGAAACUGCAUCCCUUGAGUGCGCGAGAAGUA
rnacentral:rRNA from 1 species